CAGCCGCCGCGGUAACACCAGCCCCCCGAGUGGUGGGGAUGAUUAUUUGGCCUAAAGCGUCCGUAGCCGGCUCUGUAAAUCCCUCGUUAAAUCCAGCGUCCUAAGCGUUGGGCUGCGAGAGAGACUGCAGAGCUAGAGGGUGGGAGAGGUCAGCGGUAUUCCUGGGGUAGGGGCGAAAUCCAUUGAUCCCAGGAGGACCACCAGUGGCGAAGGCGGUCUACCAGAACACGUCCGACGGUGAGGGAUGAAAGCUGGGGGAGCAAACCGGAUUAGAUACCCGGGUAGUCCCAGCUGUAAACUAUGCAAACUCGGUGAUGCAUUGGCUUGAUGCCAAUGCAGUGCCGCAGGGAAGCCGUUAAGUUUGCCGCCUGGGAAGUACGUACGCAAGUAUGAAACUUAAAGGAAUUGGCGGGGGAGCAC
rnacentral:rRNA from 2 species